GAAAUAAGUGAGAAUCUGGGGACAAACAAGAGUGCACUGAAGGCAGGCUAAGGAGUUAGAUUUUUAAUAAUGUAGAUGAGACACCAACAGAGGUGUUUAAGUAAGAGAAUGAUUUCGUUCCUGUUUUAGGAUGUUCGCUUUGGCAGAUGAUUAGAAUACGUGCUGACUUGAUAGCCGCAACUGUCCUGAUAAGAAAGUACGCCGGCCUGGCUGGGCGUGGUGGCUCACGCCUGUAAUCCGAGGAUUUUGGGAGGCCGAGGCGGGUGGAUCACUUGAUGUCAGGAGUUUGAGACCAGCCUGUCCAACAUGGUGAAACCCCGUCUGUACUAAAAAUACAAUAAUUAGCCGAGCAUGAUGGCAUGUGCCUGUAAUCCCAGCUACUCGGGAGGCUGAGGCACGAGAAUCNNNNNNNNNNUCCCGAGUAGCUGGGAUUACAGGCACAUGCCAUCAUGCUCGGACCUGGGCAAUGUAGCAAGAUCCUGUCUCCACAAAAAUUUUAGAAUUAGCCAGACAUGCUGGUCUUAAACUCCUGAUCUCUGGUGAUAUGCCCACCUCAGCCCCACAAAGUGCUGGGAUGACAGGCAUGAGCCACUGCGCGCCUGCCCAUU
rnacentral:lncRNA from 1 species